UCCAACUCUCCUCUGAAGGAAAGAAGUAAAUUGUUAUAACAAAGAACACCAGCGAAGUCUUGUCAACAUCACUUUCUGAUGGCAAAGCCCGGUAAAGUUGAAUACAUCAGAGGCUUGUGUCCUGUCAUUUGGAUUUGCAGAACAUAUUACUGUAUCUGAUGUACACAAAUCUUCACAAACCAGAUUGCUGCUAUGAGACUGUCGAUUAAAAACAAUAAGAAACUACAUUUCCCAAGAUCCUUUGCCAACUGGCUCGCCAUGAGAUUCAGCCAACGGUAGGUACUAACGGAUGAUUUGAAGUCUGGAGAAGGGCCAUCUUAUGGGAGCAUGUUUCCUUCCCUCUCUGCCUCAGCUUGUGUCAUCUGGAGAAGAGCUCGUCUGUCCUCUAGUAUGUCCCAGGGCUUGCUCCAAUCACGUUGAAGUCCAGCUUCCACUAGCUGGCCCUUGCUCCCAGUUUCCAA
rnacentral:lncRNA from 10 species